rnacentral:rRNA from 1 species
CCUACGGGUGGCAGCAGUAGGGAAUAUUGCUCAAUGGCGGAAACCCUGAAGCAGCAACGCCGCGUGGAGGAUGACGGUUUUCGGAUUGUAAACUCCUUUUGUUAGAGACGAUAAUGGCGGUAUCUAACGCAUAAGCACCGUCUAAAUCCGUGCCAACAGCCGCGGUAAUACGGAGGGUGCAAGCGUUACUCGGAAUCACUGGGCGUAAAGAGCGCGUAGGCGGGAUAGCAAGUCAGAUGUGAAAUCCUCUGGCUUAAACAUAGAACUGCAUUUGAAACUGUGAUUCUAGAGUAUGGGAGAGGUAGGUGGAAUUCUUGGUGUAGGGGUAAAAUCCGUAGAGAUCAAGAGGAAUACUCAUUGCGAAGGCGACAUGCUAGAACAUAACUGACGCUGAUGCGCGAAAGCGUGGGGAGCAAACAGGAUUAGAUACCCUAGUAGUC